rnacentral:sRNA from 1 species
UCACCGCCAAAAUUGCGCCAUGCCCGAUAGCGACCCAUCCAGUACAAGCUCCGCCCGCUCAAGCCGGAAAGCCGCGGCAGAAGAUGC